UUUUUCCUGGCAAACAUUUCAUCUAAGCCUCAUUUAAAUAGGUGUGAAUUUCUAAUGAUUUUUUGUAGAAGUAAAUUGAGAGUUUAGGUUGAAUGUUUUCAUUUAAAUGAGUUUAUCUUUCAACAGAUUAUUAGGGAAAACUAAUUGUAUGUGCUUCUGCUAGUUUUCUUUGAUUAAGAAGAAUAACUUCUGUAAAUAAUAAUGGAUAAAUUUUCUUUGAUUUCUUGUAUGUUAUGGACCAAAAUGUUAGAAAUUGUAAAUCCUAGAUUCAACAGUCUUCACAUAUUGGAGAAUAUUCUAGUGAAUUAAUCUGUCACAUGAAAAAGCAUGUAGAACUAAGAUUACUCUAACAACUUAUUGAAGGAAUAAAGCAUCAGAUAAUCAUUAUUAAUUGUGUAUAUGUUUACUAUGAAUUAUCAAACAUCUGUCUUUUCUGCAACUGUUUCAUAAAUAAGUAUGCGUAUAAAGCCUCUUCCUCUUUAAAAUGCACUUCCUUUACAUUUAUUUUUUUUAGCAAACAUCAGAGAAUAUUGAAUUAGUCAAGAGGAUUCAGAAAUCAUCAAGAACAAAAGUGGAGACAACAGGAGGCACAUCCUCCAAAUCCUUUCUCAGGUUAACUACAAAUUUACCAUUACUUUUUCCAUAAGAGAAAAAAAAUUAGAUCAUUGUAUAUAGUUUUUAUUUUUCUUUUAUUUCCUCUGUCAAUUUUCUAGAUAAAGUAAGUGAGAGAGACAACACAUACUUGACUUGUCCUUGUUUGACAAUUCCAACCUCAAUUUGGUCUGCUUGAACUACGGCAGAGAUAACACUAGAUCCAUCAAGAUUAAUAUUAUCACCACUUCCACUGGCAUCAUCAUGUAGCCUAGAUUGGACUUCUGCAAGAUGGACUUUUGAUGGCAGUGAUUCGGCAGAGGCUCUUAAUAUCUUGUGGCACAUUACAGUAUCCUGGAAAUCCAAGAAAGUGUAAUCUACAAAUUGUAAUCUCUCAGAGUCUGUCAUUUUUGAAAAUCCAAAUGAACCAGUCCACGUGUUUAACACACUAGAAACAGCAGGCAAAAUGAGUCUCUGGACUCCUAAUUCCUUGAGUUUCUUUUCCAGCACAUUCAUUAGAAUGCGACACAUUCCAAGCCGACGAUACUGAAAUCUAGUACCAACAAGUGGUAUUUCAGCCACCUUCUCUCCAUAGACCCUCACAGCAGCCACUGUAAUAAAUUCAUCAUCCUUUUGCAAAAGUACUGUAUAGAAUCCUCGAAAGUUAAGACGGUUGAGUUCUGACUCCUUACUAAAUAUAACAUCUUUAAGAAGAUCUCUCUUGGUGUGAGGUUCUUCAACAGGCUCAAAACACUCGUGCAUCACAUCAAGUGCAAUACUGAGCUUGCUGUAGAUCUCAGUCAGGGCCUCAAUAUCAGAAGAAUCAUGUUUCUGACUAUCAGACUGGAUGAAUUUUAACAGUGUCCAAGAAAGAUUGUUUGAACCCACUGGAAUUGGUUUUCCUAGAAGCUUAUGGAGGCCCAAGAAAAUCACUUCACACUUUUUGCUGCAAAACCAAUGUUCGUUGGGAAAGCAUUCCAAGCUAUCUUCAUUUCUAAUCCUUAGGCAUCCAAUGUGAUAUUUACGCUCGCAUUGAGUACAACAAAGAACCAGAUCAUCAUCCAAAGAAAAUACAGUGUCUCUUUUCAAUUUGUUUUGGCCACAGAUUUUACAACAGCAUGAUGGGCAAAACCAAUCUCCAUCUGGAACAUCCUCCAUACCAAGGCAACUUUUAUGGAAUGAGGAAGGACAUUGAUCGCAUAAAAUCAGUUCACCGCCAUAAUGACAAACAGAACAUAUGUGAUCAUUCUCACCUUGAUGACAAUUGUCCUUCAACCUUUCAGGUGGCUCCGCAGCAAAAUUUUGAAUGUCAUCAUGCAUUAUUUGCAUCUGGCAAUCUAAUAGAGACCUUCCAUCUUCCAGAAAGAUGCUGAUAGCUGGUCUGCAGUAUUUGCCACUUACAUGAAAUUCAAAGUCACUUAGAGCAUAAACCUCCCCACAACAAUUGCACUUGAUCCCAUCACGAUUUAUGCGACCUGUAAUUGGAUGCCUACCCUUUGAAGUAGAAUAAUGCACUUUUUCCCUUGGCAACACAACAUUGUUAUCUAUCAACCAAGACAGGACAGUCCGAGGCUUCUGAUGCGAGGGAUUAGGGAUCACAACCUGCUGCACUCUUUUGCUUGAUCGGAGAACACGAGUAGGACAAGUACCUCUUUUAUUAUUUUUUAAUUUGGCCAAACGUCUAGUUUUCCUUCCUUUCCUCAUCUCUGAGAGGAAGUUGUAAUAGUCUGAAAUGGCUUUUUGUUGAUUUAAGGAAAAUGCAGGAUGUGACUUUUCCUUUCCUUUCUUUUGGAUUUUUCUAGUCCCUCCAACUUUUAAUUUUUGAUGCAUAGCAACUUUUCUUAACAUUGAGAUACAAGAAGUCUGAGCAGAACAAUUUUCAAGCUUCAGCAACUGCAUUUUAUUUAAAGCAGGAGAUAUUUUCUUGCUGGCCGACUGUAUCUCUACAGUCUUGCUAAGAGUUUUCCUUUCAAGAUGUGUAGUUGUAGAAGCAGGACCCCAGGAAGCUCUUUCAUUUCUAGAAUCCUUGCAGGCUGCUCGAAGUGAAUUAUAACAUCUCCCUUCUGGUGAUAUAUAGUACAACUCCUGCUUGCCGUUAUGGAUCUUAUAUCGAAAACUCCAUCCCAAAGCUGAGAGAUGCUUCUUUGCUCUCAUGGUCAUUUGUGUUAUAUCUUCUUUCUUCAUCUUGCUCCUUAGUCUCACCUCAUAUCCAAAUUUAUACCAGUCCACAGCUGCUUCAGGGCAAUAUUCAGGUUUGAUAGCAACUAUAUCUGACUGAGAAGAAACACCAUAUUCCUGAGUCUCUGGUGGUUGUUCAAUAAGAAGAGAAGGCGAAUUAGCUGGACAAUUAAACAGAUUUGUAUCCUUAUCUUGGGACAUUAAGGAAAGAAUAUCUGCAUGAGAUUUAGUCAAAUUUAAACAGACCUCACGAAGAGAGUAGAAGACCUUCCCAUCAGGUGAGAUGUAACGAAGUCUAAUCAUUCUUUCUCUCAAGUACUCAAUUUUCCACUUCAGAUACGCAAGAUGCUUCCUAACAUCAACACGCAGAUAUGAACUUUGAGGCCUUUUUCCACACAUAUUUACAUAUUUUGUAAUAGCAUCUGGGCAAAAUUCAGCUCCAGGAACCAGGUCUGGCCCAGCAGGUAGCCAACUGGAUUUUCUGCAUCUUGAACUUCCAUUAAUUUUAUUGCCAUUGUAACUGGAAAAACCUUCCUCAAUGCUUCUAGAAUUAGCAACAAAAAUUCCAUCCUGUUUAGAAGGCAAAACUGAUGAACCCUGAGGUAACACACAUGCUGUUUUUUCAUAGCAGGAUACAUUUGAUUCAGUCAGAAGACUCAUAGCUAACCGAUCAUUCAAUGAAAGACAUUCUACUUGGUGCACAUUAGACCUUUCUUUAACAGAAUGCACGCUAGAAGAUUUGGGGUAGAACAUGUUGCGAUUUAAUGUGUUUUGAACAAGUGGCAUAUGAUGAUUUUGGGCCAAAUCUGCUUCAGGAUUUGUAUUAAUAUGAUUUAAAGGUUUCACAGACUCCAACAGCCUCUGUACAUCUUCUGGAAUGCCUAUUACCUGGAAAAGAUGAUUCAUAGCAACUUCAAGGUUAUCACCAAUUGCCUCUGACACUAAAUUUUUCCACAAAUCUUUAUCAGAAGAAAUCCACUCGCCAAGCUUAUUAAAAUUGUCUUUCUCUCGCAAAUCAUACCAAAGUUGCUUUGUAGAAAUAGGAACAUAGUGUUCUUGCUCAUUUUCCUCAAUAACCUCAAGAAACAACCAUUUCCCACGACUCUGCCAAGUUCCUGUGACCUCACUCCAGUCCUGAGUAAUCCUUAUAUCAUCAAUGGGAGCCAUCAUUUCAUCACCCAAAUCGGGGAAAAAGAUCUUCCUCUCCUCUGAACCAUCUUCAUGAUCGAAAACCACACCUUCCCACCAACCUUCAUUGUAACACACAUCCACACACAUUCCAUAAUGGAGGUCCCAUUUGCCAAACUGAAGUGGGGGUGGUAACGGCCUAAUGCGACCACGAUAAUCACACAGGUUAGCAGUGGUAUGAUCAUUCUCAUCCACAAGCUGUGAAACAUGCACACCAUCGAUAAAAUGGUCAGACCCAUCAUCCACAAGUAUACGAUCGUAUUUGACAACAUAUUUGAGAUCCCAGCCAUUUUUAAAAUGAUCAAUAACAGUUCCUGGGUGCCAUGAACCUUUAAACCCUUCUUCCACACUCCUUACCUCUACUCUUUCAUGAUUAGAAAACUUAAUUGUUUUGCUUACUCUGCGGUUUCUUGUUGUAAUAGUGUCUUGUUCUUGAAACCCCAAUGCCAUUGAAAAGAAUGAGAUUGAAAAGGAUUGCUGAUAAACAAAAGGAGAAAGAAACUGUAAAAUCGCAGAGCAGAGAUACUUUGUUAACAGUGGUAGUCACUCAAUGCUUUCUCUCCAAGUAAAAGGAGGUUGGAAAC
rnacentral:misc_RNA from 1 species